UUUUUUUUUUUUUUUUUUUUUUUUUGUCCUAUUAGGGCUGCACUGGUGGCAUAUGGAGGUGCCCAGUCUAGGGGUCUAAUCAGAGCUGUUGCCAUCAACCUACGCCACAGCCACAGCAACUCGGGAUCCGAGCCGCAUCUGCGACCUACACCACAGCUCACAGCAACGCCUGAUCCUCAACCCAUUGAGCGAGGCCAGGGAUUGAACCCACAAUGGUUCCUAGUCGGAUUCAUUUCUGAUGCACCACAAUGGGAACUCCCAAAAGUAUGUGGCACGUUAGAUGCUAUGAAAGCCAAGCUCCAAAACUGUCUAUCCAAUCACCCACUUGGCAUCUCUACUUUUUUUUUUUAGGGGAAAGCUCGCACACGGUCCCCCUCUACUACAAAUUAUGCAGUCAAUUUCCCACAUUUGGGGAAAUUGCAGGGGUCAGAACACCCGGAGUGCAUUGGGAGAGCCUCGCCCUGAGAAAACCAUCUUCAUCAUCAAGGUAUCUUCCCUGCCAGGUAAGCAUCUGACGUCUCUCCUUAAAUGUCUAGUGGGCAUUUCAGACUUAACUUGCCCCAGACAGCAGUGCCUGGAGGUGCCUGGAAGUGGCAGCUGAUUUAUCCCCACGGGGAGGAAUGGCCUCUGGGAGGAGGUGGCCCACGCAGGAAUGCAGAGGGUGGGCUAAGGCAGUGACCACAGGAGGGUGCUUCAGAGCAAGGUGCUGGUUUUGGUUUGGUUUGGUUUUAGGAAGGACAGCGGCCCUUGGGGAUGAAGAGAGGAAGAGGAUGAAGAUACAGGGAGAGGGGAAGCAGCAGGAGUCACGGUCCCGAGGAGGCAGAAGUGAUGUGGGGCUACGUUGAGAAAGCAGAACAGGGCUCCGGGUCUUCAGAGGAAGAUCACAAGAAUAGAGUGGGGGCUAAAGGAUGCUGAGCCUAGACUCAGACUGUUGGGUUUGAAUCCUGCCUCUGCAGCUUACCAAUUACAAAAUAGCAGGAAAUUACAUUAUUUGGAUCUUAAUAUCCUCUACUAUAAAAUUAGGAUACUAAUAGUUUCUAGCUCAUAGGAAUUUGUUAGGAAAAUUAAAUAUAUUAAUAUGUAUGAAGUACUGGGCUCCAUGUCUGGCACAGAGCAUAUGCAAUCGAUGUCAUCAUUAUGACAGAGAUCAUGAGCAGUAGUAUCAAGUUUCGAAUCAGAAUGUGAGCACUGGAAGGUACUUCCGAAUCAUCUGGUCUACUCAGCUGUAAAAAAGAGGGAAAUAAUGCCAUUUGCAGCAAGAUAGAUGGACCUAGAGAUUAUCGUACUAAGUGAAGUAAGUCAGACAAAGACAAACCUCAUAUGAUAUCACUUAUAUGUAGAAUCUUAAAUGGGGAGAGAAAUGAAUUUAUUUGCAGAACAGACUCAUAGACUUUGAAAAUAAACUUACGGUUACCAAAGGGGACAGGUCGGGGCGGGGGGAUGGAUUGGGGGUUUGGGUUUGGCAUAGGCACACUCUGGUAUGUGGAAUGAUUGGCAGCGGGGACCCCCUCUGCAGCACAGGGAACUCCACCCAAUAUUCUGAGAUGAUCUCUAUGGGAAAAGAACCUGAAAAAGAAUGGAUGUGUGUACAUGUGUAACUGAAUCACUUUGUUGUCGAGCAGAAAUUAUCACCACGCUGUAAAUCAACUAUAUUUCAAUAAACCUUUUUUAAAAAAGUAACAAAAAGCAUCAGCUGGUCUCAUUCCUUCACUGUACAAAUGAAGAAACUGAGGCCCAGAGUUUGGUGUGUAAAUUGGCCAAAUUUAAAGACAUGACAAUGGGCAGCAUCGAGACAAGUGUAACCACUGGAAAGUCUUCGCUUUUUCUAGGCAUCACAUACAGAAUUGGGAAUCCUAAGAAUCCAGGGGGUAACUGAGUCUGGGAAAAUAAACAUCACUCAGGUAGAACGUAGAGAAUGAGGAGAAAAUGUGGAAAGAAGAGUUUGCAAGGGAUGCUCAGAGCUGGGGAGGGAGGAAAGAGAAGAACUAGAAAAGAGUAAGGGGUGUAGAAGCCAAAACAGAGAUGGUCAGUGGAGUCAAAUACUCCAGAGUUGAGGAAAGAUUAUGAUUCUGUGCAAACUGCUCAGUCAACUUGAUUAGAGCAUCGAUUCCACAAGACACUAAGCUCCAGAGCUUGGGUUUCCUGUACGUAAAAUCAGGACAUGCAGGGACAAGCUGCUGACUCCUUUAACAAAUGUUAAGCCCUAUCUUGUAAGGUUGGCAAUGGAGGGAGACUUUCUAGCUGAGGAGGGGUCGGUGGAUCUUACUCCAGACCUUGAAAUUAAACUUUCUUUCGGGGUGACUCACAUUAAUGCCUGCAGCAGGCACAAGCAGCUGCAGGGGGACUUAGGGGGACAGAAUAAGAUCAUCCAGUGCCUAUCAUGGCCCCAGUAGGGCUGAGACAGAUUAUAGCAUUCAAGUAAGACACCACAAAGGUUGGCGCCCUAAUGCUGAUGCUGGUUGUGAACCUCUUUUCUGCUUUCUAGGUUCCCUCUAUAGAGAAAUUCAUCUAAUCUCAUAACUUUCAAAAACAAUCUCAAGGCCCAAGACUCUCACAUUUAUAUCUCAGCCCUGAUUCCACCCUGGAGCAGUUGGCUACUCUAGGUCAUUACUGAGAUGUCUAAAGGCCAUGAUCCCAAACUUAACCUUUCCAAAGGGAACACUUGCCUUCCAAGCCCCAGACCAAGCCUUACCUCCAAAGUCCCAAUCUCAGGAAAUUUAUAUUCAAUCCACCAGCACGUUCACUAGGUUCCACCUCCAGAAUAUUUUCCAAAUCUCAACCCUUCUCUGCACUCUGUCCUUGGCUAUUUCAAGUUACCACCAUGUCUUGCAUAGGCCUCUGGGGUCAUCUCUCAAGUUGGCCUUUCUGUUUCUACUUUGGCAUCCCCUAUAACUACCCUUCGCACAGCAGCUGGAUAUUCUGUUAUAUAGAAACCACAUGCUUCCCAUGAGAUUGUGGGUUCGAUCCCUGGCCUUGCUCAUGGGUUAAGGAUCCAGUGUUGCUGUGACUGUGGUGUAGACCGGCAGCUACAGCUCUGAUUCAACCCCCAGCCUGGGAACGUCCAUAAGCUGUGGGCGUGGCCCUAAAAAGCAAAAAAAAAAAAAAAAAAAAGAGAGAGAGAAAAGAAAAAAAUGAAUGAUCUUUUUAUGCUCUCUUGGGUGAUAUUUUGAUGAGAUCAUCAAAGAGUGUACUUUAAAAAACAGAAAAAAGUUGUCACGGGAGUUUAUUAGGCAAUUAGCUUAUAAACAUUAUGUCAAUUUUUAUGGAGUUUGUGGCACUAUGCUAGCUUUCUAAAACAUCGCACUCAUUUCUGGUGUAACAUUAGCUAUUCCCUCUGU
rnacentral:lncRNA from 1 species